UUGUAAAUGUGGGCUAGAGGCUUAUUUAUCUUACGAGUAUUUGAUAUUUUUUUAUUAUUAUAAUCUCCAACUGUUGAAUAAUGCCAAAGUGUUGUGUCAAAGAUUGUAGAUAUCGCAAUGAAUCCUUAUUUAGUGUGCCUAAAAAUUUAAAAAAUGAAUGGGAAAUAGCACUAAAUAUGAAUUUAAACCACAAUUCAAGGAUAUGUGCUACUCACUUUAAUCCAGAUGAUAUUAUUGCAACGUGGGAAUCCGGUGUUGGUGCGAGUAAAUAUUCUAUUUGUUUGAAAAGACCAAAGCUUAAAGCUGGUACAAUACCAGUUAAAAUAUUGAAAAUCAAUGAAGAUUUAAUUUUUUCAAACAAUGAUGUACAUUGUGUACAACAUGAUCAUACAUACUUCAAAUUUGAAAAUACACCUGAUCCUCAAUCAUAUCUUAAACCGUGAUUAUUACUAGGAUUUCAUUCAUGUCCUUUUAUUACAGUGUUUUAAAAGAUGAAAUUAAGCCAAUGCAUAGAAUACGAAUACAUACAGAAAUACCUGUUGAUAAUAACAAAUAGAAUUAAUUAUGUAUAAUAAAAAAAAAAUAGUUAUUGUAAAAUAGAAAAUGACUUUUCUGUUGUAUACAUUUUUUUCAUUAGGAAUAAUAUGCUUCAUAUUAUGCGAGGGGCCGAGGGCCAUUGGCUGUUUAAUGUUCAUUAAUUUUGUACCAUUACUAUAUCAUCUAUACUCUGUUUCAAAGGAGAACAAUCUCGCUUUGUGCUUUGUGAAUGAUGUGAUUGGCGAGUUCAGAACCACUUUAACACUAAGUUGUUGGUAGGAGAAGCAAAGCACUGACUAAAAUUUGUAAAAAAUUUUGUAAUUUAGAGUAUA